rnacentral:rRNA from 1 species
GUGAGGUAAUGGCUCACCAAGGCGUCGACGGGUAGCCGGCCUGAGAGGGUGACCGGCCACACUGGGACUGAGACACGGCCCAGACUCCUACGGGAGGCAGCAGUGGGGAAUAUUGCACAAUGGGCGAAAGCCUGAUGCAGCAACGCCGCGUGAGGGAUGACGGCCUUCGGGUUGUAAACCUCUUUUAGCAGGGAAGAAGCGAAAGUGACGGUACCUGCAGAAAAAGCGCCGGCUAACUACGUGCCAGCAGCCGCGGUAAUACGUAGGGCGCAAGCGUUAUCCGGAAUUAUUGGGCGUAAAGAGCUCGUAGGCGGUUUGUCGCGUCUGCUGUGAAAUCCCGAGGCUCAACCUCGGGCCUGCAGUGGGUACGGGCAGACUAGAGUGCGGUAGGGGAGAUUGGAAUUCCUGGUGUAGCGGUGGAAUGCGCAGAUAUCAGGAGGAACACCGAUGGCGAAGGCAGAUCUCUGGGCCGUAACUGACGCUGAGGAGCGAAAGGGUGGGGAGCAAACAGGCUUAGAUACCCUGGUAGUCCACCCCGUAAACGUUGGGAACUAGUUGUGGGGACCAUUCCACGGUUUCCGUGACGCAGCUAACGCAUUAAGUUCCCCGCCUGGGGAGUACGGCCGCAAGGCUAAAACUCAAAGGAAUUGACGGGGACCCGCACAAGCGGCGGAGCAUGCGGAUUAAUUCGAUGCAACGCGAAGAACCUUACCAAGGCUUGACAUACACCAGAAC